rnacentral:rRNA from 1 species
AUGAAUCCACUAAUUGUUGUUGCUUCUGUUAUUGCUGCUGGAUUGGCCGUAGGGCUUGCUUCUAUUGGACCUGGAGUUGGUCAAGCUACUGCUGCAGGACAAGCUGUAGAAGUGGAGAUAGUCGAACGUAAUGACAGAUCACGGCCAUAUUAUUAA